GUCUGAUUGCUCUCCUUGGUGGUUCAUCGUGUCGUUCCUCCUCUUUGUGGUUCUUCUUGUGUUUUUGUUUCUUAUGUAGGACAUUACUUUUCAUUUAUUUCAUGGACAUUUUGGAGGCGUUUGAUCUCCUUGCUGUUCCAAGUCUGGGUAUCGUGAGCUAGCGUGAAGCUGGUGUUAUGGUGUAAAUGGUGACCUGGCCAACUGGCGACUUGCAGCCGAAUGCAUGUCUCGCAAAUUUUUCAAUGAAGACAUAUCUGAUGACCACAUUGUGACAUUAUAAUAUAAAGAUAAGCAGCAGUU